rnacentral:rRNA from 1 species
UACGUGGGGGGCUAGCGUUGUCCGGAAUCAUUGGGCGUAAAGCGCACGUAGGCGGCGGCGUAAGUUGGAUGUGAAAUCCCCCGGCCCAACCGGGGAACUGCGUCCAGUACUGCGUUGCUUGAGGAUCCAAGGGGUGCAUGGAAUUCCCGGUGGAGCGGUGAAAUGCGUUGAUAUCGGGAGGAACUCCGGCGGCGAAAGCGGUGCACUGGUGGAUUACUGACGCUGAGGUGCGAAAGCCAGGGGAGCAAACGGG